rnacentral:rRNA from 1 species
GAUGAACGCUAGCUACAGGCUUAACACAUGCAAGUCGAGGGACCGGCGCACGGGUGAGUAACACGUAUCCACCCUGCCCUUUACUCGGGGAUAGCCUUUCGAAAGAAAGAUUAAUACCCUACAUAAAGGAUGGGGAUGCGUUCCAUUAGGUUGUGGGUGAGGUAACGGCUCACCAAGCCUUCGAUGGAUAGGGGUUCUGAGAGGAAGGUCCCCGACAUUGGAACUGGGACACGAUCCAAACUCGAGCGGGAGGCAGCAGUGAGGAAUAUUGGUAAAUGGGCGCUAGCCUGAACCACCGAAGUAGCGUGAAGGAUGAAUGCUUAUGGGUCGUAGACUUCUUUGAUAUAAGAAUAGGUAUUAUAUUAAUAAGGAUCGGCUAACUCCGUGCCAGCAGCCGCGGUAAUAC